CCUUAAAAAGGUUCCUUCUGCAGAGUGACCAAGAUGAAUCUUCCCCUGAUACCUGUGACCAGAUGGGACAUUGUGUUAGUGCUGUCAGCACAGGAGCACUGUCAGAAGCAUUUUGUAAGCCCACAAGAAACAGAGCUACUGUCUCCCUGAAGAAUUCCUUCUCAGAGGCCCGUUCAAUGGCUGAGAUGAAUCCUGGAGCCUGUGACCAAGUGGGCGUGUGUUAAUGUUGUCUGCACAGGAGCACUGUCAGGAGCAUCUUGGAAGCCCGCAAGAAACAGAGGAAUUGUCUCCUUUCACUAAAUGACCUUUGAAACAUCAAAUGUCUUCAUCAUCAUGACACCUACAAGGAGGCAUUGAUGAAACAUGAGCUGGUUACUGCCAUCAACCUUGUCACUGAGCAUCAAGUCAGUGUGCACUGAGAUGAAGGAACAGUCCACACUUCUGAGUUAUUGUUUCACAUUCUGCCAAUGCAGACAGAUAUCACUUUAUCAGUUAUACUUGGUUCCUAUUUUUGAGGCUCUCUCAGCAGCUAUAAGCUAGAGACUUCAUUCUUUUAAAAUGAAAGCUUAGAUUCUGAAGAAUAAAGUGGCAGCAUGAAAGAGGUGUUCAUGCUGUAUCUGUGUGUACCAACUGACUCUGAGCCCUGGCUGGCUCCCACUCCUUUUGUAACAGGGUAGUCUGCCCUUUUAAGAACCAAGAGGCCAGCCAGCCCUAUUAAGGAGAAGAUCCCAACAAGCAAGUGCUGGGCAUCAUCAUAUCCAGCUGGAUGGUAUCCAGUGAUUAGGUCAUAUGAUUGCCAGCUAGGGGAUAUAAAUGAGGGCCCCAGAGCCACCAGGGAGCCUGAGACCAGGAGAGGGCUAGGAGAAUGCUCCCCUGUGACAGCAGCAGACGAUUUCUAGAGGGUGAGUAGAUUCCGUAGAACCUCAUGGAUUGGAGAAGGUCCUAGUCAUUAAGCUGCCAGAAGGCCCCUCAAUCUUAAUGGGAACAGGCCUGUUACUUGCUGCUAUGUGUGUGUGUGAGAGAGAGAGAGAAUAAUCAAGGCUUUGCAGUAAGGGCUACAAACUGAACUGAACAUGGUUGUCUGUCCCAGGCUGGUGAUUGUGUCCACC